UCUUUCCGCGCGUGCGCGAGCGUCCGCUGUCACUCAGGUAGAACAGUCUCAAAUCGCACCGGCCGGGACCAGGCAGCCAAGAAACGCGGAGACAGACUACUGGGACUGCGACGUCUCCUCUCCUGUUCGCUGCGAUAUGCCGGCGUCGUGUUGAGCGGGCUGCGGACACAGACAGCCUGCCCGGCCCCACUGAGUGUUUGAUCCCCAUCCUCGCAGCUCUCUAGAGGACCAGAGUUGGCGGUGCAGCCCAGCGGAGCUUCGAAGCGACAUGUCCUCCAACAUUUUAGCCCAGCAAGUCUUGUGGCCCCUGAGGAUAUAACCCAGAGAGGGCUGCUUUCUGGGAUUUCUCGGCUGUGGUUCAAGUGGAGUACACACAGUUGAGACCCUGUCUGCCCUGGGCAGCUUUCUUGACCCUUGGGGGACCAGCUCACAAUAAAUCCUAGGCUUCUGUUGCUCCUUGCUGCCUAUCCAUAAGCAAUAAACCUGCUUCAGCUCAUUCA